rnacentral:rRNA from 1 species
GGAAGGAGAGGUCGUAACAAGGUUUCCGUAGGUGAACCUGCGGAAGGAUCAUUGUCGAACCUGCUUCAUGCAAAAAGGGGCGAGGAUGGCUCGCAUGGAUGAAGAACGUAGCAAAAUGCGAUACGUGGUGUGAAUUGCAGGAUCCCGUGAACCAUCGAGUUUUUGAACGCAAGUUGCGCCCGAAGCCUUUAGGCCGAGGGCACGUCUGCCUGGGCGUCACGCACCGUUGCCCCCCAAACCCCCUCAGUCCUCCACGGAGGAUUGGCGAGGCGCGUGGGGGGCGUAAAGUGGCUUCCCGUCGGCUUUGUCCCGCGGUUGGCCUAAAAAUGAAUCCCUAGCCGCGGUGCGCGCGGCAUUCGGUGGUCAUCGAUCCCUUUCGUUACCCCGCCGCGCGCUCACGUGCCGCGAAGGAUGUCACACUAGUAAACCCGACGCCUCGCUUUGUGAAGAGCGGAGCUUACAACGCGACCCCAGGUCAGGCGGGGCUACCCGCUGAA